UACAGAGGUCUCAAGCGUUGUUCGGAUUCAUUGGGCGUAAAGGGUGUGUAGGUGGCGCGCUAAGUCGGGGUGUGAAAUUUCGGGAGCUUAACUCCGAAACUGCAUUCGAUACUGGCGUGCUUGAGGACUGGAGAGUAGACUGGAAAUUCAUGGUGUAGCAGUGAAAUGCGUAGAGAUCAUGAGGAAGACCAGCUGGCGAAGGCGGGUCU
rnacentral:rRNA from 1 species